UGGUGCGAUGAAUGUGGAGGAGAAAACAAAGAAUAUUGAGUCAGUAUCACUAGCCUCUCUCGGUGCCUCUGUGUGUGUAUAUUAGGUUCAUCAACCAUAACACAACUCAACAGAAUCUAAAAUACUUCAGACGCAACUCCUAAGUUAAUCAACCAAGGUUUACUCACUCUUUCUCUAGUGGUGAAAGAAGAAGAAGAAGAUUUUGAGAAGAUUUUUUAGGUUGUUCAACUAAUUAGUUUCAUGGAUGCCAGGGUACAUAUUGUUCUUUCCAUAGUUUGUAGGCCGACUCAAUAAUCAAGCACGAUGGUAUAUCCUCUCAAAACAAAUAGCAACAGAGCUGGCAGAGAUCACCCAGCUUCAAACCCCUUUGGUUCCUGUGGAAUGGGAUCAAGUUGCCCAAGACUCUUGUCGUGAUAUUUUAGCAGACCGAGAAAUGGCGCAUGUAAAAGAUCCUGAAAGGAAUGUGGAUUUUAUGUGACAACAUUCAAUUCCAUAGGGUCAUGCAGGAGAUCAGGACCUUUGUCACUUCUGAUGCUCAAAAUGUUGGAGAUUAUAUUUUCAGUUUUUCACGGAGCGGAGAAGUUUCAUUCAUUCCUAUUUAAGUCAACGGGCAAAUGGUGUAUGUACAAGAACAUGAAAGGAUCCGGCAAAUUAUGUGAAAAGUAUCAAAUGGUUCCAUGAAUUAAAUGACGAUGGAUUUCCGAAUUCUUUCUUGAAUUUUCAGUGACCUAGGUUACUACGAAAAUUUAAAAAAAAAAAAAAGGUAGAGGGAGAAA